rnacentral:lncRNA from 1 species
GGCGGUCUGGGGAAACUGGAGAUUCCAAGCCUUUAAUUAAGUAAAUCCUGAAAAUGACAGAAUGUGGCCUUGUUUCCCACUGAGCUAGCAAAAGCAGAUCAAGUUCUGAGGAUAACGCAACAAAUGAGGACUCAAAAGACAAGGGGCAGCUCAGGAAAUCAUGGAACUCAAAAUCUGCGAGUGUUGUACAACCAGACACACAUGAAGACAGCUUCAAGGAGGAGGGGACGGACAGAGCAGCACCAAGAAAGGGAGUGCCUUAUUUUGAAAGUAGAGGAUCCCAAGGACAGCAAGGAGAGGCACUACAAGGAAACACAGGAGAAGCCAGUCCCUCCUCAGGUGAAGCACGCGUCCCACACUCAGGUGGUCAAAGAGCAGCUGGACAGGAUCAAGGCUCAGAUGAAAAAAACUUCUCGGGCAAACCUCUUAAAACGGCCGAAGAGGAAAUCUUAUCAUCCAUUUGUUUGGAACAGUUUACACCCAUAUUCAGAUACUCAUGAAAUAGACUUUCUUCUUGCACUGUCAACAGCUGUCCACCGCAACCCUAAGAGUCAACAGAGUGCUUCUAAAAUUAUUGAUCUUCAGGCUUCCUGGACAAGAUAUUCUUCCUGGACAAAAAAGCAGCACAGAAUGCUGCUGAAGAGCCCGCAGGAUUGUCACUUACGAAAACAGGGAGGGAAUUAUACCGAAAGCACUUGGACCAGAUGUCCCUACAGCAGCAUGUCCUUCAACGCUCUAUGA